UUUUUUUUUUUUUUGUGUCUGGUUACAUGCUGGGACUCAUCUGGCCGUAAAGUGGGUUAAAUCUGCUACAGAAAACAGAUGGAUGCAUGGAUGGCUGCACAGAGGGGAAACACUGCUGCGCUAACAAUUUACCACGGUGUGACCUGGCUCAUGAUGUGACUCUAGACUCCGGAUUCAUUGUGAAAUAGCAGCCGAAUAGAGAACCCACCGAUAAACUCCUUUCUCAUCUUAUCCCUCUGCCUGAGGUCAUCUGUCCCGAAGAUGAGGGCAUUGAUGACACUGAGGAGUGUGACCAUGUAAGGGACGUUAUCUGUUGCCUGCAGCUCGUUCAUGAUCACACUGAAGCGAUACUGCUGUGUCUUCACGCCCUGAAGGGGAAAUCAAGGGAAUCCAGAGCCAGGCAAUGUCCGUCUGUCGAGAACAUGCUGAGGGCUGCCAGUAGCUCAAACACCUGCUUCUUCACCAUGGUGUUGGAAGUGUCCAAGGCUGUGGAGCAUCAUGAUCACACGCAUUAAUACCGGUAGAAUGCUCAUAUUUCCCAUCUGUUCCUCUUAAAGCAAGCCCCUCUCUCUGCUCUUCCCCCGUUGUGUCUAGACCUAAGCGGGAUGCUUUGUUUUCGCUGCCUUUACUGCGACUCAUCUUGAACUUUGCCCUCUGUGUUCGAAGGUGGGGAAGUCCAAUAUGCACAACACACCGUGACACUACGUUUUUAGGGAUGUCCUGAAGCAGCCCUUAAUGAUUUGUAUCUGUACAAAAAGCUGAGUGCAUGACCGGGAAAUUCAGCUCACUAGAGUGAGUUAGAGUGAGUCAGAGAACCAUCGAGUCAAGUGACCAAUUUAACAUAAUAUUACAAAUGUUGAAUAAUAAGCUAUGUAAGAAGUAAGCGGCGCCUCAGUUCCUUAAAUGUGAGAUGGUUUUCCUGUAAAUGAUCUAAAUUUCCAAACUAUCUAUUGUUCUGGAACGUGUAUUUUCCAAAUCAUCUGGGCCACUCUUUUCAUAAGCAACGCUAAUUUGAGUCUGAAUCACAUGACAUUAUAUGAAGAAAAAUGUGCAGUAUGUAACAAUGUUUCCCAACAUUAAAAGCCCGAUGCAAGU